UACAGAGGGUGCAAGCGUUAAUCGGAUUUACUGGGCGUAAAGCGUGCGUAGGCGGCUCGCUAAGUCGGUUGUGAAAUCCCUGGGCUUAACCUGGGAACUGCAGUCGAUACUGGCGGACUAGAGUACGGUAGAGGGUGGCUGAACUCCGGGUGUAGCGGUGAAAUGCGUAGAUAUCCGGAAGAACACCGAUGGCGAAGGCAACCACCUGGGCCUGUACUGACGCUGAGGUACGAAAGCGUGGGGAGCAAACAGG
rnacentral:rRNA from 1 species